GAUUAUUACAAUUCAAGGUGAGAUUUGAGUGGUGACACAGCCAAACCAUAUCAGUGGGCCCUCAAUAAAUAUUUGUCCACUAAAUAGAUGACCAAAUAAAUCUGACCCUGUCGCUUUCUUACUUGUGACCUUUCAGUGUUUUUACUCCCCCUCCCUCAUCACCUGCUUAAUAAAAGCUGUACUCUAUCAUGACAUGAUCUAGCACUGGUCCAACUUCAUUUUCUACCUCUUCCCAACUCACCUGAUAUAUUUUCUUUUCCUAUUAACACUGAUUAGCACUGAAUAACUUGUUCACAGAGAGCGCUAUAAUUUAUCAGGACUGCAAGCCUUUGCAUGUGCUAGAGUCCCUCUGCCUGGGACACCUUCCUGUUCCUUUGCCUGACAAGUUACUAUUCAUUUUUAAAAUUUUAUCACGAGUUACUUUCCUGAAAGAGGUUCUUCUGGAGCUUGAGGCAACCUUUGGCUUUCCUUUCUUUAUGAUCUUAUUACACAUUUUGUACCUCCUUAAGUACUUUUAUCAUAAGUACUUUCAUCAAUCUCUGGUUUCACUCUACUUUUGGGUAUGCAGGAAGAUCAUACUUUUUUGUCUCUUUGAAAUUAUGUAUAGCCAUGUGGCUUUAUCUGGCCAGCAAAAUAUAAGUGGAGUUGUUGUGCUGAAGCAUACUUAUAAGUGGGAGUGCAAUUCUCCAUUUCUUCUGCCAUCUUCCAAGAUAAUCAGUUACAUUCUAUGUAAUGGAGUCUCUGUUAGUCUGUGUCUCCAAAUGUGGAUGAAGUUGAGCAGAAUCCCCGACCUGUGCAUGAUGGACAUAUAAUAUGAGCAAGAAACAAAUCUUUAUUGUUUUAAGCUAUUGAGAUGUUGAGAUUGUUUAUUACUGCAGUAUAACCUCAUCUAUCCUGACAAACAUACUUCCACAUAGUCAUUACCCUAUCUCUUAAUAAUAGCAGUUUACCAUUUCUUUGAGGUCAAGGCAAUAUUAUUACAUUUCUUUUUAGAUUAGGCACUUAAAAUAUUUGUUAGUACAAUGCUAGAAAAAAUAUUUUUGGACACCUGCGAUGUGCCUGGCACUGUACUAAGGAUUUUACUCAUGUUAUUUAAUCCUCAACAACCCUAUGGGUAGGCAUGAUUCCCAUUUUACUGACAGAGAAAGAAGCUCAGAGGGGUUGAGGUGACUUUCUCAAUGUCACACCACUGGUGAGAAACAGAAUCAGCCACCAACCAAGUAGUUCUGAUUCUUCCGCUCACACUCAUUCCGCUACACGCUGCCCUGGGAGUAACAGAUGAAGUAUGUGCUGUCUGCGAGGAGGUCCCAUCCAUGCAGACAUACCUGUCCUAAACCUUGUACUGGACAACUAAACAAGCAUCAAACAAAUCCGAGUGUCAAGUAAGUGAAUAAAAAAAUUGGAAACAUUUUUAGGAUCUAAUGGGAAAUGGAGAAUCCUUUCGAUAACUUUUCAGUUCUUAAGGAAAAGCCAGUCACAUCCUGUGUGUUCAGUGAGAAUCCCAUCUGUGGCCCAGUACAGAAGUCAAUUUCAGAGCAUUGCCUGUUUGGCCCUGUUCUGGUUGGUGUGGCUGACUUCUGGAGCCAUUUCCUUGGUAACAUUUCUGAACAUGUACUAACAAUCAAUGACAAGGCAUGGUCACACAGUCCAGCCUCUAGCCUGGUAUGGCAUUCUCAGAACAUAUUUCCUCAAGAGUGUGUCAGCUGGGUCCUUAGGCAGCUGUUAGAUGAUGGGUUGAAGUAGACUGACAGUGGAAUGAAGACAUACUCUAAGCCUCAUGGAACUAUAGCUUUGAGUACCGUGACCCAUUGAAGGAAAAACCUCCACUAAGGGGCUGGUACUCAGGCUAGAGAGAGCUUCCAAGAAGGAGGGAAUAGCAGCCUGAGAGAUAAGUGGCUGCAUGCCACUAAGUGCCCCAUGGAGGGUUUUCCCAUCUGUGGAGGGAGUAAGUUUUGAGACAGCAUCUCAAGGGAUGGCUUCCUGGUUGAUGUGACCCUCAGAGUUGGGCUUGGCCCUAGAAAAUUCUCAUUUCCUUUUAACUGUUAUUCUUGCCGCUCCAUUGAAUUUUAUUUGCAUUAUUUGUGCAUUCUUUCUACUCUGAACUUUGACAGUGUAUAACAUGCAUUUGGUAUUUUUCAUGUAUUAUUAUAUUUAAUAUAAUACAUAUACAUAUUUGGGGAAGUUGAAUGUCAUUUGCACAAUCAGUUUGUAUGUUUUUUGAAGACAGAGUGGGGCUUAUAUACUUUGGGCAGGCAUCUAGUGUGGAGCUUCACACAUUUCCAGCUCUGUUAUCUGACCCAAUUUGUGCCACUUCUUUGGUGAAACAGCUGUUAGUGACCAACAGCAUCUUUGAUUCUGAGGGUAUUAAGGAACCAGAAUAUGUAAUACAACAAUCCUUUGCUCAUUUUUAGAUCCUGGUUUGAACAGCAAAUUUUCUAAAGUUGUUUCCUGUGUUUUGGUAGAGUGAAGAUAGCAAGGGUGUUUCAGUUGUACAGGGGUUUAAUUUAUAGAGGUGACUGAGUGACAGCACAGACGGGUCAAUGCCGUUGAAAGAAGAGUUUAUUAUUUUCAGUUUCCAGGAGGAGGAGACACACUCUGCCAUACAGAGCCACCUGGGGAAGCACCAGGGUCGGUCAGGAGGCAGAAAGCAUGAGCACAGCCUUUAUCACGGUUUCUGCAGGCAAGGCAGGCAAGGCAGAGUAUUUAGGAUUGGCUGGUUCUGAGCCAUAGUUUUGGUGGUUUCUAGUUAUCUGGUACCUGGCCCUGGGGUGAUUUAGGGCAGUGAAAGAUUGGCUUUGUGUGUGAGAGUUGGAUAAAGUAGAUGGAUGGGAAUAUGGACUUUGGAUUUCUUGGUUUGCACAAGAAACGUGUGCUCAAAGACAAGUUGUUUGGUAUCUGUAGGAAUUAGCUAAUCCUGGGAGGGGCAGUCUCCCCCCAGCCAGCAAGGUCCCCAAGAUAUCAAAGCAUCAUAAAACACAGAUAAUAAGAAACAUGAUUAAUACAAAAAUUUAUUUCUAUAGAGACUGGACUAGAAAAUUCUGAGAGGCUUUUCACCUGUACCAAGUCCUGGUUUACUCUUCCCAGCAAGACUAUGAAGUGGGUUUUAUCCCCAUUUUACAGAGGAAGAAACUGAACCUCCUUGCCUAAGUCAGCCAGCUGGCAGGUGAGGGAUUAGGGGCUUAAUCUCCAGUUCCGCCACUGCACCUUGGGGUUUAUUAAACCACACAGAGAAGAUAGUUUGGCUCCAUCUGCUGCUUGAGGCAGCGUUGAAGUUAAGGCCCUUGGAAUGUGAAUGGCAGUAAUUAGGUCUCUGAGUUUAGGACCAGGCUGAGCAAAGGAAAGGAAGUUCAUGUCUGGGCUAGUGCUCACAGGCCCUGCACUUCCUUUAUUCAGCUGGGUGUCAGCAGGGAGGGUUGACUUUUUUAUCUUAAGCUAAGCUUCCAAUUUGGACAUACAUCACCAUCCAAGGCGAGGCCUGAAACCUUGGGUGUCUGUGAAUUUAACAUGUUUGUAGCUGCUUGAGGCUGCUUGACAGGCCAAUGUCAAGGUUAUCGGGGUGGCCAGGCUGUACCCAUUGACAUGUGUCUGUAGCUGGACACUCAAGCCAAACCCAGUGGAGAGUGGUCCCAGGAGUGGGGAGUCAGCCCUGGCAAGGAGUGUGGUUGGCUUGAGAGGGAGUGAGCACAGUUUGAUUCUGUGUUUCUUUCCUUCCUCACAUGGACAGUUCCCUCAUCUUCCUGUGCAUGGGUGAUACACCAGAGACUUAAAACUUUGCUACCUAUCUAUUUUAGAUUGCGUGUUGAAAGCAGAAUUGCUGAAAAUAUAAUGUUGCUUCAAUGACUGCCCAGUGGCACCCUUCCAUUCCAAGUAGGAUGCCUUUAAGUCAUGUAACAAGGGCCAGCCAAGGGAGACUGCUCUUUGGGAGCAAGACCAGCCACAAUGUCCAGAGGAAAGUAGAUUUGAAGUGUGUGGGGACUCUAGAGCUAGACCAUGGGCCUUCUAAUCUUACCAUCGCCACUUCCUGACUGUGACCUCAGGCAAAUGACUUAAUAAGAACGAACACUUGACAGAUUUGCAAAGCCCUUUACAUAGAAUAACUUGUCUAGUCCUCAAAAUCAACUCUAAGGAAGGUGGAGUAUUGCCUCCAUUUACUGAAGAAGAAACUGAGGCAGAGGAGAUUACAUAACAUGCAAAAGCCGGACCCUAAUAAAUGGCAGAACCAGUAUUCAGAUUCCUUCCUGCAGUCUGGCCUCUGUGUCCAUGGCUUAACCACAACCAAUACACUUUCCUAUUGCACUUGAGCUUGCAGCAUGUUCAUUUCCUCAUCUGAGAAAUGCAUGUUAUAAUAACCCUUGCUGCAUGGGGUUGCCGAGGGAUGUAUUGGGAUAGCAUGUAGAACGGGUUUGACACAGACUAAGUGUUCAGUAAGUGUUAGCUUUUAUUAUUCAUUAUAAACUGCUGUGUCCUCCACUUUUUUGUAUUGGUUGUUUUUCCUCGUGCUCCUUCUCUGGGGCUAUAGAAAGUGAGAAGAACCCGAGGGCUUAUAUUCUUAGCUAAAUUUAGAAAAAAAAAUCCUAGAGCAUAUAGUAGCUGUAUUAAUGUCCACUGUACCUUCUGACCUUGGUAAACCUCUGAUGGAUUCUCUCCCUGCACAGUCUCACUCCCCACUGAGCCUGAGGCCUCGCAUAUGACAGGAUAAAUCAAGAGUUGUGAACAUGCAGGAGCCCUGGUGGGACCUUGGGUGGCUGACCUGUGACAGCGCCUGGGUGCUGAGGAGGCUUCUUCUCUCAGGAAAUGAAAGCCCAGAGACGAGAUGAUUUUUAAGAGUUGAACUGAGCUGCAAGCAUGUGGAUCAUAUAAGUGUUAACAGAGGCAGACAGAGAAGAGAGACCUGCCAUGAAGUGCUAUGGUGGGAGGUGUGUCAGCUCGGGGGUGGAGGAGUCCCAGGUGGCCCCAGGAGAAGAGGCCUCUGAACAAAGAAGACAAUGCUUGGGUUAUGGUGGAGGGGAUAUGGAAGCUCAACGUCUCCAGUGCGACUCUCCCACACACCCAGCGCCAUCUUGUAGACACGCUGAUGUUUCCGGACCGCGGGCGCCCAGCCUGGAAGAGCGCUCCACACUGAAGUGGAAGGAAACUUCACACUUAAUUCAUCAAGUUCAAACUGAGCUGUGGUGAAAGGAAUGGGGCGGAGUGAAAGGAACACCCACAUGCCCCAGAAGACCCCAGGGCAUCGCUGCCUUUCAGCUUCUUUUGCGUUUUGUGCAGCUCGUGUCACAUUCCAAGGACACUCAGCUCUGCGCACAUGCACAGAGGGCCGCGUGUGUCCCGGGGCGUGUUACCUAAAACCACGCGCUGACCUCCAGGUUAUGGGUUCUUCUGGAGUCUUCUGAACCUGCCGGGCAUUUCUGACUGGAUGAAAAUUAACAAAAGUCCAUGUUCAACCUGAUGAAAAUUAGCAGCAGUUCAUCUUAAUUUAAUUGCCACAGCAUGCAGCUAUGUGAGUACGUAUAUUUUCAUUCAUGUAUUUGAAAUAUUUAUGGAUUGUCUGUUAUAUGACUAGUACUAGGGGUUCAGUAAAUUUACCCAUAUAAUGUGUUUUUGUUAAAUAUUUAUUAUUAAUAUGGGUAAAUGUAACAUGUUUAUAUAGGUAAAUGUAAUCUGUUUGGUAUGUAGAUACACAAAUUUAGAAUAUAUAACAGAUUUGUUUUUGUAUAGAUAUAUAUUUUGGAGGCAUUCUGUUGUCUGGCUUCUUUAUAUUCCCAUAUGUGUUCAAUUUCCAUAUUCCCUUUCCUGAUUCAUUGUUUUCUUCUAGUAUUAAAGUAGAAUAAAGGCAACCAUGUAUUGUAGAGCAGGGUGUACACAGCGCAAUUUUCAAGGACUCAUUUCUACCUCUGCAGCCAUGCACAGCAGCCUUGCAGUUCAAAUCACGAAGCUACCACUCAUCUGAUGACAUCUUGCUGUCCUAAUCUGAAAGGGAAGCUUUAGGCAAAAUGAACCAUCUUUUGAGGGCUGAACUUGCAAGUGUGUGUGUGUGUGUGUGUGUGUGUAUACACAUAUAUGUGUGUGUAUAUAUAUACCAAUUGGAUCAAAAAUAUGAAUCAAACUAAUUGGUAAUUUUUUCUUCUAGAAUUAGGCAAAAUGACAAGACUGAAUCCUCAGGAAAGAUACUUAAUUCUCCUUAUUGGUGUUGCCUCUGAGGACAUGCUGUGAUGUGAUGGUGUAAGAAUAGUGAUGUUAUGUUGAAAUUCUUUCAGUUCUCACUGAUAUGAAAAUAGUUCUAAAUAUAUUACAAGUUUUGAACUCUAGUAGAUUGAAAUAUAUCAAGACCACAGGGUAAUUAACUUCUCUAUAGUUUGGAAAAUUAAUUGGAGAAGACACUAAGAAUUUUGCAGAUAAUCUCUCUUAAAGUAAUAUUGUAAAUAUUUAAGUAUGGUUGGCAUUCUUAAGUAUGGUUAACCAUACUUAAGUGUGGUUAACAUAACAGUAAUAUAUAUAUUUAUAUAUCAUCCUAUCUCCAAGGAGCUCUUAGUAAUUUACAAAUUGUUUUUAAAUAUGGUUAUAGCUCACAGAUUCUCUACAAAGCAAGCAGGAACAAGUUCUAUGAAUACUACUUAAAUCAAGGAGUUUGAGAUUCUUUGAGUGGCAAAUCCAGACUCAUCCAGUGUGUCAGCAUCUGAGUUAGACACUCUUGGCACCCAUGUCCUUCCUGUUUUGUGGUUUUCAGUGGGAGCCUAGACUCCUAUUUGAUCAAUCUCUUCUUUCUAGCUUGCUUCCAAAACACCACCACACCAUACUCCACUACACGAAGUUCCAGGCAAUGUGGAAUCUGUGCUGUUUUAGUGAGAGAUUGAGACCUCUUUCUGUGGUCCCAGGAAAUUUUGCCAAAAUUGCAAAUACACAGUUCCAGGUGAAUCUUUUUACAAUAUUUGGUGGUUAGCAAAGAAUAAUGUUUCACUGGAUUUUUGAAUUUUACCAAUGAAGGGAGGUGAUGGGGUGCAGUGGAUUAGACACUUGCCUGUAAUUCAGGAACCUGGGUUCUAGUCUUCAGCCCUGAGGCACUUAUAUAAGUUUUGCCUGGGAGCUGAGUUGGGAACAUGAGGACCUUCCUCAGGAGAUGGGGCCUCAGGAAAUGACCCUGGCUUAUAAGGGAAGGUGUAACUGAGUCCUUUAUUGCCAGAUCCUUUCUAUAAAAACACAGUUUUUCUCUCUUCUCCUGUUACUAUCACAGACUUUUAGAAAUUUGAAAUACAAGGACAGACCUAGUAAUAAUUGCUGCCAUUCUUGAGGUCUUUACUUGUGUGCAGUCAUUACUCCCUUUCAUCUUACAAUCUAGGUUUUAACUGUGUGACGUUGGGCAAGUUAUAUAACCACUCUGGUUCUCAGUUUUAUCAAAUAUCAAAAAGGAGGGAUUUGACUAGAUAUAGUGGUUUUCAAAUUGGGCCCUGUGAAUCUCUAAGGAUCAGGGGAGAACCCUUAGGAAUUACUGAGCGUGUCAAAGAAACAGCUACAUAGGCAGGUCUCCUCAAGCUAGCAAUCCCUUCCCUUACUCUCAAUCACAGAAGCUUUGCUUUUUAUCUGUGUCAAAUAGUGGAGUUAUUUGAAAAAAAAGCUUCUCAUGCUAAAAAAGUUUAGCUUUACUUCUGUCAAGAUGGUAUAAAAAGAGACUAGAUUUAUCCUUCUACCUAAAACAAACACAUAAUAUAUAAAAUAUAGUCGUGAGCCACAUAAUGACAUUUCAGUCAAUGAUGGACCACAUAUGUGACGGUGGUCUCUUAGAAUAUAAUAGAGCUGAAAAAUUCCGAUGACCUGGUGACAUCGUUCAUAAUGUCAUAGUACAAUGUAUUACUCACAGGUUUGUGUUGAUGCUGAUGUAAACAAACUUACUGCACUACCAGUUACAUAAAACUCUAGCACCUAAAGUUAUGUAGAAUGCAUAAUACUUGAUAAUAAACUAUGUUACUGGUUUAUUGUAUUAUAUUCAUUAACUGUAAAACAGCUGGUCCUUUAGAAGGUGUUCCAGAAGAAGACGUUGUUAUCAUAGGAGAUGACAGUUCCAUGCAUGUUAAUUGUCCUUGAAGACUUUCCAGUGGGACAAGAUGUGGAGUUUGAAGACUGUUAUAUUGAUAAUCCUGACCCUG